GUUACAUCUCUGCAGGUGGGGAUACUUAAUCAAUGAAACUGCAAUCAGCCCAGACCAGAAAAAAGCAGUGGGAGUAGAAGGUGGAGAUUUCACUGACUCCAUUCCGUCGGGGAGUAAUCCAGUCCGGGUUUUCCCUCCAACCGAGUGACUCCAUUUCCAUGUUGAAAUGGAUGGUGAGGAUGGGAGAAGGUCUGGGAUGCUCUUUUCCCUCUGCUUUAAAUCGUUGGCUUUGCUGGUUCACAGAUACAAAUGGAAACUCAAAAAAGUUUUGAAUGAAGCAGAAUUAAAUUGAGGAAUAAUGGGCAUAACAAGGUCAGGAGUUUCUUGUGACUGAUGGUCAGAAAACUGAAAACAAGUUUCCAUACCAAUGCAGAGAGGAGAUGGAUAGUUCCAGCGUCGAACUGUUCCUGGCAUACAAGAAAUAUGAGAACGCCCCUGUUUGGAAAGGGCAAAACAUCAGAUUACAGAUAAUCAGUUAUGGAACUUUCCUGAAACAUAGAGCUACAGAGCACCUCCUGGAUAAUCUAAUCAGAGUAUGUUUCAAUGAAACCGUAUUUUCAAAUAGUUCUGGUUUUAUGUUCUCAUUUUUCUAUUGAAUAAAUGUUCUAAAGUAACUUUCCUCUAGUAACUUGGAAAUUUGUUAGAAGUAUUAUUAUAAGAUGGAAGCAGCUACCACGUGCGCUCAUAUAGUCUGAUUAGUUCACUGCCUGUUUCCAUUCCAGUGUAUUCCAGCUGCAGUGAAAUCACAGCAUUUGAUUUUCAUGCUGCAGUCCAGAAUGAAUCAACCACUGCUCUGCAUCAGUAGUACAGACACAGAGAGGAACUGGUUCCACAUCACUUGCUACAGAUGUUCCAUGUGGACCAUGCUAAGACUGUCAUCAGCAAAUAGCAGCAGGCCUUGACCUCUCACACGGCCUCACAACACGACCCACUGCAUUCAUGCAACAUCUUGGCAGACAGCUGCAGAAAUACGAGUGUCUCUUUAUUUAAUAAAUAUAAAUAAAGAAUGUCUCUUUAGUUA